AGAGAGCUUGCUCUCGGGUGACGAGCGGCGGACGGGUGAGUAAUGUCUGGGAAACUGCCUGAUGGAGGGGGAUAACUACUGGAAACGGUAGCUAAUACCGCAUAACGUCGCAAGACCAAAGUGGGGGACCUUCGGGCCUCAUGCCAUCAGAUGUGCCCAGAUGGGAUUAGCUAGUAGGUGGGGUAACGGCUCACCUAGGCGACGAUCCCUAGCUGGUCUGAGAGGAUGACCAGCCACACUGGAACUGAGACACGGUCCAGACUCCUACGGGAGGCAGCAGUGGGGAAUAUUGCACAAUGGGCGCAAGCCUGAUGCAGCCAUGCCGCGUGUAUGAAGAAGGCCUUCGGGUUGUAAAGUACUUUCAGCGGGGAGGAAGGCGAUAAGGUUAAUAACCUUGUCGAUUGACGUUACCCGCAGAAGAAGCACCGGCUAACUCCGUGCCAGCAGCCGCGGUAAUACGGAGGGUGCAAGCGUUAAUCGGAAUUACUGGGCGUAAAGCGCACGCAGGCGGUCUGUCAAGUCGGAUGUGAAAUCCCCGGGCUCAACCUGGGAACUGCAUUCGAAACUGGCAGGCUAGAGUCUUGUAGAGGGGGGUAGAAUUCCAGGUGUAGCGGUGAAAUGCGUAGAGAUCUGGAGGAAUACCGGUGGCGAAGGCGGCCCCCUGGACAAAGACUGACGCUCAGGUGCGAAAGCGUGGGGAGCAAACAGGAUUAGAUACCCUGGUAGUCCACGCCGUAAACGAUGUCGAUUUGGAGGUUGUGCCCUUGAGGCGUGGCUUCCGGAGCUAACGCGUUAAAUCGACCGCCUGGGGAGUACGGCCGCAAGGUUAAAACUCAAAUGAAUUGACGGGGGCCCGCACAAGCGGUGGAGCAUGUGGUUUAAUUCGAUGCAACGCGAAGAACCUUACCUGGUCUUGACAUCCACAGAACUUACCAGAGAUGCUUUGGUGCCUUCGGGAACUGUGAGACAGGUGCUGCAUGGCUGUCGUCAGCUCGUGUUGUGAAAUGGUUGGGUUAAGUCCCGCAACGAGCGCAACCCUUAUCCUUUGUUGCCAGCGGUCCGGCCGGGAACUCAAAGGAGACUGCCAGUGAUAAACUGGAGGAAGGUGGGGAUGACGUCAAGUCAUCAUGGCCCUUACGACCAGGGCUACACACGUGCUACAAUGGCAUAUACAAAGAGAAGCGACCUCGCGAGAGCAAGCGGACCUCAUAAAGUAUGUCGUAGUCCGGAUUGGAGUCUGCAACUCGACUCCAUGAAGUCGGAAUCGCUAGUAAUCGUAGAUCAGAAUGCUACGGUGAAUACGUUCCCGGGCCUUGUACACACCGCCCGUCACACCAUGGGAGUGGGUUGCAAAAGAAGUAGGUAGCUU
rnacentral:rRNA from 1 species